GUCCACGCCGUAAACGAUGUUCACUCGCUGUUUGCGAUACACAGCAAGCGGCCAAGCGAAAGCAUUAAGUGAACCACCUGGGGAGUACGAUCGCAAGGUUGAAACUCAAAGGAAUUGACGGGGGCCCCGCACAAGCGGAGGAACAUGUGGUUUAAUUCGAUGAUACGCGAGGAACCUUACCUGGGCUUAAAUGUAGAGCGACAGAUUGUGAAAGCAGUCCUUCUUCGGACGAUCUACAAGGUGCUGCAUGGUUGUCGU
rnacentral:rRNA from 1 species